GACAAACGCUGGCGGAAUGUAUUAGGCAUGCAAGUCGUACGAACCUUCGGGUUAGUGGCGAACGGGUGAGUAACACGUGGGUAACCUGCCUCAUAGUGGGGAAUAACUCGCCGAAAGGCGAGCUAAUACCGCAUAACACCCUCGGUGAGAAUCCGAGUGGUAAAAGCUCCGGCGCUAUGAGAGGGGCCCGCGGCCGAUUAGCUAGUUGGUGGGGUAACGGCCUACCAAGGCGACGAUCGGUAGCUGGUCUGAGAGGAUGGUCAGCCACACGGGGACUGAGAUACGGCCCCGACUCCUACGGGAGGCAGCAGCUAAGAAUCUUGCGCAAUGGGCGAAAGCCUGACGCAGCAAUUCCGCGUGGGGGACGAAGGCCCUCGGGUCGUAAACCCCUUUGUGAGGGAAGAAGUUCUGACGGUACCUCACGAAUAAGACACGGCUAACUACGUG
rnacentral:rRNA from 1 species